rnacentral:rRNA from 1 species
CCCUUAGAUGUCCUGGGCCGCACGCGCGUUACACUGAUGCAUUCAACGAGCUUAUAACCUUGGCCGAGAGGCCUGGGCAAUCUUGUUAACGUGCAUCGUGAUAGGGAUAGAUUAUUGAAAUUAUUAAUCUUGAACGAGGAAUUCCUAGUAAACGCAGAUCAUCAAUCUGCAUUGAUUACGUCCCUGCCCUUUGUACACACCGCCCGUCGCACCUACCGAUUGAGUGAUCCGGUGAAUAAUUCGGACUGCAGUCGUGUUCAGUUCCUGAACGUGGCAGCGGAAAGUUUAGUGAACCUUAUCACUUAGAGGAAGGAGAAGUCGUAACA